rnacentral:rRNA from 1 species
GAUGAACGCUGGCGGCGUGCCUAAUACAUGCAAGUCGAGCGAACAGACGAGGAGCUUGCUCCUCUGACGUUAGCGGCGGACGGGUGAGUAACACGUGGAUAACCUACCUAUAAGACUGGGAUAACUUCGGGAAACCGGAGCUAAUACCGGAUAAUAUAUUGAACCGCAUGGUUCAAUAGUGAAAGACGGUUUUGCUGUCACUUAUAGAUGGAUCCGCGCCGCAUUAGCUAGUUGGUAAGGUAACGGCUUACCAAGGCAACGAUGCGUAGCCGACCUGAGAGAGUGAUCGGCCACACUGGAACUGAGACACGGUCCACACUCCUACGGGAGGCAGCAGUGGGGAAUCUUCCGCAAUGGGCGAAAGCCUGACGGAGCAACGCCGCGUGAGUGAUGAAGGUCUUCGGAUCGUAAAACUCUGUUAUUAGGGAAGAACAAAUGUGUAAGUAACUAUGCACGUCUUGACGGUACCUAAUCAGAAAGCCACGGCUAACUACGUG